rnacentral:rRNA from 1 species
AUUGAACGCUGGCGGCAGGCCUAACACAUGCAAGUCGGACGGUAGCACAGAGAGCUUGCUCUCGGGUGACGAGUGGCGGACGGGUGAGUAAUGUCUGGGGAUCUGCCCGAUAGAGGGGGAUAACCACUGGAAACGGUGGCUAAUACCGCAUAACGUCGCAAGACCAAAGAGGGGGACCUUCGGGCCUCUCACUAUCGGAUGAACCCAGAUGGGAUUAGCUAGUAGGCGGGGUAACGGCGCACCUAGGCGACGAUCCCUAGCUGGUCUGAGAGGAGGACCAGCCAAAGUGGAACUGAGACACGGUCCAGACUCCUACGGGAGGCAGCAGUGGGGAAUAUUGCACAAUGGGCGCAAGCCUGAUGCAGCCAUGCCGCGUGUAUGAAGAAGGCCUUCGGGUUGUAAAGUACUUUCAGCGGGGAGGAAGGCGAUGUGGUUAAUAACCGCGUCGAUUGACGUUACCCGCAGAAGAAGCACCGGCUAACUCCGUGCCAGCAGCCGCCGCGG